rnacentral:lncRNA from 1 species
GUGCAAACCCACGCCAUAUCCCUGAAUCUGUUGUGGAAGAACAGGAAUCCUUGACAGUGUGACAACCUGCCUGGGCUGCCGCGGGAAGCCAAAUCCGCCCCCACACAAACCCGAGUAAUUAACAGGUGGGGAAAAAUAGCAAGUAACUGCUGCUGAGGAGAGGAAAAAUAGUCAACCUAGUGAAUUGUGUAUAUUAAAGUAUAAUAUCUCUUUUGCAAUCCCUUUCCUAGUUCUUACUAGCAAGGGUGGGCUCAGAUUUAUCAGUGAGACCAUGCCCUGAGCAGAAUUGCCCU